ensembl:lncRNA
CAUCUGUCCUGCCCUUCCAAGAUAUAACGUUACAAUAUAAUAAUAUAACGUGUAAUUUGAUCUGUUUCUUUGAGAGUUCAAAGCACAGCGCGACUGUAUUCGCAUCCAUCAUAAAACGUUAUACACUAUAAUCAUGCAUUAUGUAGUUUCAAAACAAGUUAUAAUGUGUUUUAAAAAUGACUGAACCUAAUAUCUGCCAUAUUCUGCAAUUCAGAGAGAGGAGCAAUGCCUCUGUGAUGCACAAGCCUUUGAUACCCUGGCAAGUUUUACAAUUCUGGAAGUGAUGGAUAGCUUAGCAUAACACAAUUCAGUGCACUCUUACAACUGUAAGGUUCCUCUGGGGAGUACCAGUCAAAUUUAUCAUAGAUUUAUUCCAACAGGUGCUACAGAUUGCAAGAAUUGGAGGGAAGAACACCAAGGACUGUGUCCACAAAGUCCUUGACAGGCAUGAAAACCUUUCCUUGAAUGAACACACAUAUACUUCAGGGCAUGUUGUUAUUGUUUUUUUUAUAUUGUCUUUUGUGUAUUAUAUAUGUUUUAUUCAUGCUUAUGAUAGAUCACUAGUUAAUAUAACCUCAUCUAUACGAUGUUUGGUACAUAAGCAAUAUAUUAGUGUUCUAAGAGCCUUUAGUAAUUUUUCAUUAACUCUCUAAAGUUCCAUAUGCAAAUUACCAUGCUUUCAGACAAAGGGCUGUAAAACUCUUCAUUAUUUCCAACCUCCUGCUUGGAAUUUCAGCCAUUCUCAUUGGACAAGCCCAUCCUGAGAGGUGUGAACCUUCGCAGACUUUAAAAGGCUCACAGUUCCGCUCCGCCUCGGUUCUUCUUCUACUAGUUCUAGUUCUUCUAGUCCUCUGUUCUUCUACUUCUGCUAAGUCUUCUGUGUCUGUGUGGAGAGCCUGAGCUGGUGCAGGCAUGCCCCGGUGGGUCCCAACACAUAGCUCACCCAGUCUGUGGGUUGGUUAGACUCUGAGCAGUGAGGAUGCGAGCUAGAACGCUUCUGCAACCAGCUAAGUCUGCGCCAGGCCUCAUGCCUUGACUUUCCAUUUACCAAAGGUUCUAGGAUCUCAGCUGAUGUCUCUUUUAGCUCUUUUUCACCUUCCACUGGGAAGAAACUCCCAAUCACCAUCAAGUCAGGACACCUUUAGGAAUUCAUCACUCUUCAAAACCAGAAGAACAUGAUUGUGACUACUACACCACACAGCAAAAUCCCCAGUGUUAAUUUAACACUCUGAGUGUGGACUCAUAUAAACACUGAAGUAGUGUUAAAAGUAACACUGAGGCAGUGUUAAAGUUAAUGAGAUAAUUAGGUGUUUGAUUGAGUGAUGAUUGACUAUUAUUGAAGACACCUGAUGUUAACAAGCAGAAUCACCAAAGAAGAAAAUCACAAUUUGUGUGUCACCAUUAUAGUGGUCAGUGUUAGCUUUAGUUGGGAUCUUGACCCUUGACUUUUUAACAUUACAUUUUGUUUGGCUGAUGUAACUGAGUUAUAACAGACAGAUAAGCUGAGAGUAAAUGUCAUCCGGUUGUGAUGAUUAUGUUUUAAUGUAAUCAUUAUGAAUCUAACUCAUUCAGAAUCUUUUCUCUGAGUUAUAUUUCAUUGAUUGAGUAUAACAACUUUUGAUGCCACAGUGAAAAAGCCUGUAUCUGCUAUACAUUUGUAAGGGUCCCUUGCAAACUGUUCUGAUUUCUUUUUCAAGAUUCGUUGUUUUAGGCACACACAGACAUCAAGAAUCAGUGUAUGAAUCUCAACAACGGUGAGAAACAGCAUAUUCAGAUAAACAGAUCAACUCUGAACAUCACAAAACUAAAUACUAAAAACUCACAUAAAAACGGCAAAAAUGAUGAGUUUUUAUUGGCUAUAACAUGCUUUUUUGAUGGUCACCAUUGUUGUGAUGCUCACGCUGAUUCUUGAUGUCUGUGUGUCUAAACUAAAAAUUAUUUAUUUAUUAUAUAGCUGUAACUUUUAAAAACAUCUGAAAAUGCAAGGUUUUGUAUUUUUUAUUUAACUUAUGUAAUAAACAAAGACAAUCCAACUCA